rnacentral:rRNA from 1 species
CGUGUAGGCGGCUUGUUAAGUCUGAUGUGAAAGCCCCGGGCUCAACCUGGGAAGUGCAUUGGAAACUGGCAGACUUGAAUACGGGAGAGGGUAGUGGAAUUCCUAGUGUAGGAGUGAAAUCCGUAGAUAUUAGGAGGAACACCGGUGGCGAAGGCGGCUGCCUGGACCGAUAUUGACGCUGAGACGCGAAAGCGUGGGGAGCAAACAGGAUUAGAUACCCUGGUAGUCCACGCCGUAAACGAUGAGUACUAGGUGUUGCGGGUAUUGACCCCUGCAGUGCCGCAGCUAACGCAUUAAGUACUCCGCCUGGGAAGUACGGCCGCAAGGCUAAA